rnacentral:rRNA from 1 species
UGGGGGAAUAUUGCACAAUGGGGGAAACCCGUGAUGCAGCGACGCCGCGUGAGCGAAGAAGUAUUUUCGGUAUGUAAAGCUCUAUCAGCAGGGAAGAAGAAUGACGGUACCUGACUAAGAAGCACCGGCUAAAUACGUGCCAGCAGCCGCGGUAAUACGUAUGGUGCAAGCGUUAUCCGGGAUUUACUGGGUGUAAAGGGAGCGCAGGCGGUACGGCAAGUCUGAUGUGAAAGCCCCGGGGCUCAACCCCGGUACUGCAUUGGAAACUGUCGGACUAGAGUGUCGGAGGGGUAAGUGGAAUUCCUAGUGUAGCGGUGAAAUGCGUAGAUAUUAGGAGGAACACCAGUGGCGAAGGCAGUUCACGGGAGCGCAACUGACGCUGAAGCUCGAAAGUGCGGGGUAU